rnacentral:rRNA from 1 species
AUGGGACUCAGUGAAGCUCCAGGCACUUUCCAAGGAGCAAUGAACACCACACUGUCUUCAGUUAAUAGGAAAAAUGCUUUGGUCUUCUUUGAUGACAUAUUGAUCCUCAGCAAAUCCUAUCAGGAGCACUUGCAACAUGUUAGAGAGGUGUUGGCCCUACUCAGAGCUGAUCAAUGGAAGGUGAAAAUGUCCAAAUGUGCUUUUGCUCAAUAG